UGGGGAAUUUUGGACAAUGGGGGAAACCCUGAUCCAGCCAUCCCGCGUGUGCGAUGAAGGCCUUCGGGUUGUAAAGCACUUUUGGCAGGAAAGAAACGUCAUGGGUUAAUACCCCGUGAAACUGACGGUACCUGCAGAAUAAGCACCGGCUAACUACGUGCCAGCAGCCGCGGUAAUACGUAGGGUGCAAGCGUUAAUCGGAAUUACUGGGCGUAAAGCGUACGCAGGCGGUUCGGAAAGAAAGAUGUGAAAUCCCAGAGCUCAACUUUGGAACUGCAUUUUUAACUACCGGGCUAGAGUGUGUCAGAGGGAGGUGGAAUUCCGCGUGUAGCAGUGAAAUGCGUAGAUAUGCGGAGGAACACCGAUGGCGAAGGCAGCCUCCUGGGAUAACACUGACGCUCAUGCACGAAAGCGUGGGGAGCAAACAGG
rnacentral:rRNA from 1 species